AAUCUUUCUUUUUCUCAAAUAAUACCAAUCACAUUUCCAUUCUAUAAUUCACUUCACAAUCUUCAGAAACUCUCAAUCCUCUUAGUCAAAAAAAAUAACAAAUAAAAGAAAAGAAGUAGCACCAAGCUUAACCUAGCUCACAACUAUCACAGCGAUCGCAUCUUAAUUAACUUCUACAACUCUUAUAUACUUUUCUUUGAUUCUCCAAAUUUUAACCAUAAUUCUAUAAUUAACCACUUUUAAUAACUAAAUUACUCAUCCGUCCUCCUAAAUUUCCUAUUUUAUAAACUAUUAAUAUAUUUUACCAAUAUCUU
rnacentral:lncRNA from 1 species